rnacentral:misc_RNA from 1 species
CCGAGUUCUCGCAACUCCCAAACCCCCUGUGAACACUACCUACGUUGCCUCGGCGCGGGCCUUCCCCGCCGGCGGCCUACCUAUUAACAUUCUUGUCUCGCAUGAAGCUCUUCUGAACUACGAAAACAAAAUACGUUA